rnacentral:rRNA from 1 species
AUUGAACGCUGGCGGCAGGCUUAACACGUGCAAGUCGAGCGGAGCGAGGGUGCUUGCACCUUAGCUUAGCGGCGGACGGGUGAGUAAUGCUUAGGAAUCUGCCUAUUAGUGGGGGACAACAUUCCGAAAGGAAUGCUAAUACCGCAUACGCCCUACGGGGGAAAGCAGGGGAUCUUCGGACCUUGCGCUAAUAGAUGAGCCUAAGUCGGAUUAGCUAGUUGGUGGGGUAAAGGCCUACCAAGGCGACGAUCUGUAGCGGGUCUGAGAGGAUGAUCCGCCACACUGGGACUGAGACACGGCCCAGACUCCUACGGGAGGCAGCAGUGGGGAAUAUUGGACAAUGGGCGGAAGCCUGAUCCAGCCAUGCCGCGUGUGUGAAGAAGGCCUUUUGGUUGUAAAGCACUUUAAGCGAGGAGGAGGCUACUAGUAUUAAUACUACUGGAUAGUGGACGUUACUCGCAGAAUAAGCACCGGCUAACUCUGUGCCAGCCGCCGCCGUAAUAC